AUUGAACGCUGGCGGCAUGCCUUACACAUGCAAGUCGAACGGCAGCACGGGAGCAAUCCUGGUGGCGAGUGGCGAACGGGUGAGUAAUAUAUCGGAACGUGCCCGGUCGUGGGGGAUAACGUAGCGAAAGCUACGCUAAUACCGCAUACGAUCUACGGAUGAAAGCGGGGGAUCGCAAGACCUCGCGCGAUUGGAGCGGCCGAUAUCAGAUUAGGUAGUUGGUGAGGUAAAGGCUCACCAAGCCGACGAUCUGUAGCUGGUCUGAGAGGACGACCAGCACACUGGGACUGAGACACGGCCCAGACUCCUACGGAGGCAGCAGU
rnacentral:rRNA from 1 species